UGGGGAAUUUUGCACAAUGGGGGAAACCCUGAUGCAGCGACGCCGCGUGAUUUAGAAGGCCUUCGGGUUGUAAAAAUCUUUUCUAUGGGAAGAAAAUGACAGUACCAUAGGAAUAAGGACCGGCUAAUUACGUGCCAGCAGCCGCGGUAAUACGUAAGGUCCGAGCGUUGUCCGGAAUCAUUGGGCGUAAAGGGUACGUAGGCGGGUAAGCAAGUUAGAAGUGAAAUCCUAUAGCUCAACUAUAGUAAGCUUUUAAAACUGCUCAUCUUGAGGUAUGGAAGGGAAAGUGGAAUUCCUAGUGUAGCGGUGAAAUGCGCUGAUAUUAGGAGGAAUACCGGUGGCGAAGGCGACUUUCUGGCCAUAACCUGACGCUGAGGUACGAAAGCGUGGGUAGCAAACAGG
rnacentral:rRNA from 1 species